rnacentral:lncRNA from 10 species
ACAGGCUGAAGAGUAAAGAAGAAGCCACAACACUCAAACCUCUGCUCAACUCUGAGUAAUUGUGAGGAACAAAGGACUUCUCAGACAUGAUGGUGCAGAGAGAUGUACAGGAGACAUUUGGACACAGAGACACACAGAGGGAAGACAGUGUGAAGACACGGGGAGAAUUCUAUCUACAAGCCAAAGCAUGGCUGAGGAUACAUGAAGCUAAGAGAGAGGC